GAUGAACGCUGGCGGUAUGCUUAACACAUGCAAGUCGAACGGGACCCUUCGGGGUUUAGUGGCGGACGGGUGAGUAACGCGUGAGAACAUGCCCUUAGGUUCGGGACAACAGUUGGAAACGGCUGCUAAUACCGAAUGUGCCGAGAGGUGAAAGAUUAAUUGCCUAGGGAUUGGCUCGCGUCAGAUUAGCUAGUUGGUGGAGUAACGGUUUACCAAGGCGACGAUCUGUAUUUGGUCUGAGAGGAUGACCAGACACACUGGGACUGAGACACGGCCCAGACUCCUACGGGAGGCAGCAGUGGGGAAUUUUCCGCAAUGGGCGAAAGCCUGACGGAGCAAUACCGCGUGAGGGAGGACGGCUUUUGGGUUGUAAACCUCUUUUAUCAGGGAAGAAACAAAUGACGGUACCUGAUGAAUCAGCAUCGGCUAACUCCGUGCCAGCAGCCGCGGUAAUACGGAGGAUGCAAGCGUUAUCCGGAAUUAUUGGGCGUAAAGCGUCCGUAGGUGGUUUUUCAAGUCUGCUGUCAAAGCGUGGAGCUUAACUCCAUAUCGGCAGUGGAAACUGGGAGACUAGAGUGCGAUAGGGGUAACGGGAAUUCCCAGUGUAGCGGUGAAAUGCGUAGAGAUUGGGAAGAACACCAGCGGCGAAAGCGCGUUACUGGGUCUGCACUGACACUGAGGGACGAAAGCUAGGGGAGCGAAAGGGAUUAGAUACCCCUGUAGUCCUAGCUGUAAACGAUGGAUACUAGGUGUGGUUCGUAUCGACCCGAGCCGUGCCGGAGCUAACGCGUUAAGUAUCCCGCCUGGGGAGUACGCACGCAAGUGUGAAACUCAAAGGAAUUGACGGGGGCCCGCACAAGCGGUGGAGUAUGUGGUUUAAUUCGAUGCAACGCGAAGAACCUUACCAAGGCUUGACAUGUCGCGAACCUUCUUGAAAGGGAAGGGUGCCUUCGGGAGCGCGAACACAGGUGGUGCAUGGCUGUCGUCAGC
rnacentral:rRNA from 1 species